AGUACGGCCGCAAGGUUAAAACUCAAAGGAAUUGACGGGGACCCGCACAAGCGGUGGAGCAUGUGGUUUAAUUCGAUGCAACGCGAAGAACCUUACCUGGUCUUGACAUCCUGCGAACUUUCUAGAAAUAGAUUGGUGCCUUCGGGAACGCAGUGACAGGUGCUGCAUGGCUGUCGUCAGCUCGUGUCGUGAGAUGUUGGGUUAAGUCCCGUAACGAGCGCAACCCCUAUCCUUAUUUGCCAGCACAUCAUGGUGGGAACUAUAAGGAGACUGCCGGUGAUAAACCGGAGGAAGGCGGGGACGACGUCAAGUCAUCAUGGCCCUUAUGUCCAGGGCUGCACGCAUGCUACAAUGGCAAGUACAACGAGUCGCAAUACCGCGAGGUGGAGCAAAUCUCUUAAAGCUUGUCUCAGUUCGGAUAGGAGUCUGCAACUCGACUCCUUGAAGUUGGAGUCGCUAGUAAUCGCAAAUCAGCAAAGUUGCGGUGAAUACGUUCUCGGGGUUUGUACACACCGCCCGUCAAGUCACGGAAGUCGGCAAUACCCGAAGCCAGUGGUCUAACCCUUUUAGGGAAGAAGCUGUCGAAGGUAGGGUCGGUAACUGGGACUAAGUCGUAACAAGGUAACC
rnacentral:rRNA from 1 species